rnacentral:rRNA from 1 species
UGCAACUCGCGGCCGUGAGGCGCCGUAAUCGGUGUGGUGGACACACUGCUUGGAAUUAUUCGGGGUAAAGCACACGUAGGCGGCGUCGCAAGUGGGAUGUGUAAGCCCUCGGCUUAACCGAGGAAGUGCAUUCGAUACUACGAGACUUGAAUACUCAAGAGGGUCUCGGAAUUCACGGUGUAGAGGUGAAAUUCGUAGAUAUCGGGAGGAACACCAGUGGCGAAGGCGGAGACCUGGGGAGAUAUUGACGCUGAGGUGCGAAAGCGUGGGGAGCAAACAGGAUUAGAUACCCGAGUAGUC